rnacentral:rRNA from 1 species
AUUGAACGCUAGCGGCAGGCUUAACACAUGCAAGUCGAACGAGUGGCGGACGGGUGAGUAAUAUAUCGGAAAGUGCCCAGUGGCGGGGGAUAACUACUCGAAACAGUUGCUAAUACCGCCUACUAUUGGAGCGGCCGAUCUCGGAUUAGCUAGUUGGUGGGGUAAAGGAUCACAAAGGCGACGAGCCGGAGCUGGUGUGAGAGGACGACGAGCCACACGGGGACUGAGACACUGCCCAGACUCCUACGGGAGGCAGCAGUGGGGAAUAUUGGACAAUGGGGGAAACCCUGGUCCAGCCAUCGCGAGUGUAUGAGAAGGCCUUCGGUUUGUAAAGUACUUUUGGCAGAGAAGCGGUAUCUGCAGAAUAAGCACCGGCUAACUACGUGCCAGCAGCCGCGGUAAUUC